rnacentral:rRNA from 1 species
UGUUGGGGGCGCCUAAUACAUGCAAGUCGAACGCUUUGUGGUUCAACUGAUUUGAAGAGCUUGCUCAGAUAUGACGAUGGACAUUGCAAAGAGUGGCGAACGGGUGAGUAACACGUGGGAAACCUACCUCUUAGCAGGGGAUAACAUUUGGAAACAGAUGCUAAUACCGUAUAACAAUGACAACCGCAUGGUUGUUAUUUAAAAGAUGGUUCUGCUAUCACUAAGAGAUGGUCCCGCGGUGCAUUAGCUAGUUGGUAAGGUAAUGGCUUACCAAGGCGAUGAUGCAUAGCCGAGUUGAGAGACUGAUCGGCCACAAUGGGACUGAGACACGGCCCAUACUCCUACGGGAGGCAGCAGUAGGGAAUCUUCCACAAUGGGCGAAAGCCUGAUGGAGCAACGCCGCGUGUGUGAUGAAGGGUUUCGGCUCGUAAAACACUGUUGUAAGAGAAGAAUGACAUUGAGAGUAACUGUUCAAUGUGUGACGGUAUCUUACCAGAAAGGAACGGCUAAAUACGUGCCAGCAGCCGCGGUAAUACGUAUGUUCCAAGCGUUAUCCGGAUUUAUUGGGCGUAAAGCGAGCGCAGACGGUUAUUUAAGUCUGAAGUGAAAGCCCUCAGCUCAACUGAGGAAUUGCUUUGGAAACUGGAUGACUUGAGUGCAGUAGAGGAAAGUGGAACUCCAUGUGUAGCGGUGAAAUGCGUAGAUAUAUGGAAGAACACCAGUGGCGAAGGCGGCUUUCUGGACUGUAACUGACGUUGAGGCUCGAAAGUGUGGGUAGCAAACAGGAUUAGAUACCCUGGUAGUCCACACCGUAAACGAUGAGUGCUAGGUGUUUGAGGGUUUCCGCCCUUAAGUGCCGCAGCUAACGCAUUAAGCACUCCGCCUGGGGAGUACGACCGCAAGGUUGAAACUCAAAGGAAUUGACGGGGACCCGCACAAGCGGUGGAGCAUGUGGUUUAAUUCGAAGCAACGCGAAGAACCUUACCAGGUCUUGACAUCCCUUGACAACUCCAGAGAUGGAGCGUUCCCUUCGGGGACAAGGUGACAGGUGGUGCAUGGUUGUCGUCAGCUCGUGUCGUGAGAUGUUGGGUUAAGUCCCGCAACGAGCGCAACCCUUAUUACUAGUUGCCAGCAUUCAGUUGGGCACUCUAGUGAGACUGCCGGUGACAAACCGGAGGAAGGUGGGGAUGACGUCAAAUCAUCAUGCCCCUUAUGACCUGGGCUACACACGUGCUACAAUGGCGUAUACAACGAGUUGCCAACCCGCGAGGGUGAGCUAAUCUCUUAAAGUACGUCUCAGUUCGGAUUGUAGGCUGCAACUCGCCUACAUGAAGUCGGAAUCGCUAGUAAUCGCGGAUCAGCACGCCGCGGUGAAUACGUUCCCGGGUCUUGUACACACCGCCCGUCACACCAUGAGAGUUUGUAACACCCAAAGCCGGUGGGGUUAACCUUUUUCGGGG